GACGGAGGAUGCAAGUGUUAUCCGGAAUCACUGGGCGUAAAGCGUCUGUAGGUGGUUUAAAAAGUCCACUGUUAAAGAUUGAAGCUUAACUUCAAAAAUGCCGUGGAAACUUUUAAACUUGAGUAUGAUAGGGGUAGAGGGAAUUUCCAGUGGAGCAGUGAAAUGCGUAGAUAUUGGAAAGACCACCAAUGGCGAAGGCACUCUACUGGGCCAUUACUGACACUGAGAGACGAAAGCUAGGGGAGCAAAUGGG
rnacentral:rRNA from 1 species